UCACGAGUUCAUUCACAGCUUAAGUAAACAGCUCCGGUUUCUAAUAACAAACACGUCCUCUAAGCUCCUAGUCACUACAUUCUUCACUGAUGACAGGACUAACCCGUCCCAGCACAGGACCUGCCCUCUGUUGGUGGCACCACCCCGGCCCAGCAUUUUGCAUGUACAGUCCCUUUGCAUCCUCCCAACGACCCAGCGAGGUAUUUACUGACACCUAAACCUGAGCCCGACACUGAGACCUGGAGAUGAGCCGUGAUGCCAGUCCCUGCCCGGAAAAGCUCCCCGCCUAGUGCAGGGAGCAGACGGUUUCUCUGGGUGCAGGGAAUGCUAACCGGAUUACGGCUCUCCCAAGAAACUGGUCCUCAAGAAAUUGCCAUGCGGGCUGGACGGGGGCAGAGUGGUGAGCUGCAGCAGUGCUGACCCACGCGGAGGGGCCUGGGCUGGCGUCCGGAGACUUCCCUAAGCACGCCUGGCUCUGGGCUGACCUGGCUCUCUGUCUCUCUCUCUCUUUCCUGCUCAUGAGAGAAAUAAAUAGCUUCGAAGAAGAAAGAAAUCCCAUGGAUGGGCACAGAUUAUUCUAUAAAAUUGUUCAUGACGACACUGUAUAUAAUAUACCAAAUAUGCACAUCACAUAGGCACCAUUAAACAAACUGUGACAGCUAUUUAACGAAAAGUGCAAUGAAGCUGAUUAAAAAAAUACGUGUGAAACCACUAAUGGCAUAAUGAAACAUAAUAUGAAAUGAAUAAAGUGAGUAUGAUCUUGUUUUUUAUUUAAAAAAUAAGAAAAUAAUACACCAAAUAUAACCAGUGGUUAGCCCUGAGAUGUGAGUUUUAUUUUUGGGGGUGGGGUGUGGGUAAUACUUUUCUAUUAAUGUAUUCUAAAAAGUUUCUACAAUAAACCAGUUACUUAGUAAUUGAGAUAAGGCUUUUUCUCGUGUUUUGAAUGGUGUAAUAAUAAUAUUUAAAUGACAACUACAGUGGCCAGUGUUCACCGAGCGCUCGCUGUACACCAACAGCGCUCCCUGCGGACACGCUCCGCUCACACCCACCACAUCCUGCACCGGAUCAGGCCGCCUUUUAUGGCCGAGAAGCAGCCUGACAGAGGUUAGGUGACCUGCCCAAGGUCACAGAGUUGCCAGGUGGCUGGGGAAAGCCCCGGCUCUGACACCGCUUUCUCCAGGAAACCUUCCCCACCUCCAUUCCCUCCCAGCUCGGGGUUCCCACCC